rnacentral:rRNA from 1 species
UAUGAAGGGGGCUAGCGUUGCUCGGAAUUACUGGGCGUAAAGCGCACGUAGGCGGAUUGUUAAGUCGGGGGUGAAAUCCUGGAGCUCAACUCCAGAACUGCCUUCGAUACUGGCGAUCUCGAGUUCGGGAGAGGUGAGUGGAACUGCGAGUGUAGAGGUGAAAUUCGUAGAUAUUCGCAAGAACACCAGUGGCGAAGGCGGCUCACUGGCCCGGUACUGACGCUGAGGUGCGAAAGCGUGGGGAGCAAACAGG